rnacentral:rRNA from 1 species
UACGUAGGGUGCAAGCGUUAAUCGGAAUUACUGGGCGUAAAGCGUGCGCAGGCGGUUUUGUAAGUCUGACGUGAAAUCCCCGGGCUCAACCUGGGAAUUGCGUUGGAGACUGCAAGGCUGGAGUCUGGCAGAGGGGGGUAGAAGUUCCACGUGUGAGCAGUGAAAUGCGUAGAGAUGUGGAGGAACACCGAUGGCGAAGGCAGCCCCCUGGGUCAAGACUGACGCUCAUGCACGAAAGCGUGGGGAGCAAACAGG